GAGGAGAAGUUGACAUCGGGUGAUCUUCAAUCUACAGAUAUUUUUCUCAAAAAUUGGAACAAAAGAAUUACUUCUGAGUCCGAGUCUGAGUCUAAAAGUUCAGAAAGCGAUACAAUGUCAAACUCCUCUACUGAAGAUGUUAUUGAAAUUGAAAAGCCCAAACAAGUCAAGAAGAGAUCCAAAGUUGAAUCGUCUACAAGCAAAACCAGAAUUGGCCAAACCAAAACAGAAGUUUGUUGCCUGGGGAUCGGAAGCUCUCAUACAAUUCCUUAAAUCUAUUGGUAAACAGACAAGCGAGAGAUUAUCACAGUAUGAGGCGGCCUCUAUCGUUGGCCGGUACAUCAGGGUGAACAACCUAUCUGAUCCGGUGCAGAAAAGGAGGAUUUUUUGUGAUGCGAGAUUAGAAUCUCUGUUUAAGAAGAAAACAUUUAACAGAAACAAACUAUGCGACUACCUUGAACCCCAUUUUAUUGAAAACAUUGAAGUAACCGAAGAUGAACUAUUGUCGAAUUAUUCGGAAGAAGAUGAUUGUGAACUGUUAGUGUCCACUAAAAAGAAAAGAACAUCUUGCAUAAAUAAGGAGAGGUUGCUGAAAUUGAGAAAGUGCAGGAGGCGCCAAAAAGCCGAUUUGCAUCCAUUGUCAAAGAAAACAUCAAAAUUGUCUUCCUGAUGAAGAGUCUAGUGAAACAAUUGUUGGAUAACCACCUGCCUGAGGAUUUUGAUUCCAAAGUAGUAGGCUGCUUUGUGAAAAUCAGAUCAUACCCAUUGGACUACUUGCAGAAAAACAGAUGUCAACUCGCUUUAAUAAGAGGCGUGAAUCGGAUUUUGGAGAAUGAUGAGAUGAAGGUUACCCUUAGUGGUGUCAAUUUAAGCGGACCUUGAACUGAAGGCCAAAUCUUUGCAUGUCGAUAUCACAAAUCAUGCAAUUGACAAGGAAUUAGAAUCUUUGGUAAAUAAAAUCCAUACAUGCAAUGAGAAA